ensembl:lncRNA
UUUUUUUUUGUGGAUUGGAUCAAACCCUUCAGACAAUGAGAUGGCGAGCCUCCCAACCGAACUUCUGUGGAUUUGAGAGAUGCAGACGGAGUAAUCCUGAGCGUUCCAAUGGAUUAGUGCUUCUACUGAUCAGAACGUGAUUGUUGAUAUUGCCGCUGGUGAUUGUUGAUUGAGAACCCCUGUGAAAUCCAAUGUGGGUUAAAAGCAAACGAACCCUGGAUUUGGUGAGUUUCUAAGUAAUAUUGGUUCAGCUUACUGAAAACUGAAUGUUAUAAUUGUUUAUUGAAGUUUUGAAAUGUUUUAUGGUUGUAAUAGUUUCUGAAGGAGUGUGAAAUGUGAUGUAAUAUUCCAAUUAAGCACUUACAUGCUAUAUUGCACAAUUAUAUAUUCUUGUAUGUUUUAUAUAUGUUGAAUAUGAGAGAAAAAGGUUUUUGAAUACUAUUUUCAUAUAGAUUGAUGGUUGAUUGAUAAAUAUGUAGUGUGUAUAUUGUGUUGCUCUAAAGAAAAUGGUGUGUAAAUGCUUUUGAAACUUAAGACGCUGUUUGUAUAAACAGGUCAGGUUUUUUUUUUGUGGAUUGGAUCAAACCCUUCAGACAAUGAGAUGGCGAGCCUCCCAACCGAACUUCUGUGGAUUUGAGAGAUGCAGACAGAGUAAUCCUGAGCGUUCCAAUGGAUUAGUGCUUCUACUGAUCAGGUGGAAUCCAAUUCAUUGCAUAUAUUCUGAUCGGUAGGAUCUGACUUUUCCUUAAGCGAUUAUUUUGCACUAUUGACUUUUGCACACACUAACAUAUUUUUCCACUUGGGAUGACAAAGAAAUAUUCAUUUAUACACAGAAUGAGAAGUUAUUGACCGUUACAUUGUUGGAAUUGUGGAACUGUUUUCAAAUUGUUUCAAAUUGAACUAUUGUGAUAUUGUACUUUUCUUUUCACAUUUCAAUUGUUUUAAUUUGGGUUAAUCUUUUCUGUGAUCUUUUAUAUAAAGCGUUGAAAAGAAAUUAAAAACCUAAAGAUAAGAAGAGCUCUUAUUAAACUAAAAUUUAAUAAAACUAAAUAAAAAUAAACCAAAAUAGAAACUAAACAACUGAAAUAUAAAUCAAAUAAUUAGAAGCAAAUAGAAAAAAGUCUAUUUAAAUAGUGAACAGAGCUCAAAGAUACCAAAAAGAACAACAAGGGAUUGAAAAGAACAAUUAUUUUAUUUGUGUUCAUUUAUUUUUCUUCAAUUGUUGUUGUGGUUGUAUUACAUUUGUUUUUUAUUAUUAUUUUUGCACCAACAUAAUACAUUAAAUCAUUUCCAGCUAUUAUCUGUGUCCUUGUGUGCCUUGAUCACUUACCCUCCUGUAACGAACCUAAUCACUGGUCCAAUAUCAGGUGCUUAGAAUCACCUGUCCCUGUGUCAAGUAAUUCUUGCUACAC